rnacentral:rRNA from 1 species
CCUACGGGUGGCUGCAGUGGGGAAUAUUGGACAAUGGGGGCAACCCUGAUCCAGCCAUGCCGCGUGUGUGAAGAAGGCCCUCGGGUUGUAAAGCACUUUCAGUGAGGAAGAACGCCUGGUGGUUAAUACCCAUCAGGAAAGACAUCACUCACAGAAGAAGCACCGGCUAACUCCGUGCCAGCAGCCGCGGUAAUACGGAGGGUGCGAGCGUUAAUCGGAAUUACUGGGCGUAAAGCGCGCGUAGGUGGUUUGAUAAGCCGGUUGUGAAAGCCCCGGGCUCAACCUGGGAACGGCAUCCGGAACUGUCAAGCUAGAGUGCAGGAGAGGAAGGUAGAAUUCCCGGUGUAGCGGUGAAAUGCGUAGAGAUCGGGAGGAAUACCAGUGGCGAAGGCGGCCUUCUGGACUGACACUGACACUGAGGUGCGAAAGCGUGGGUAGCAAACAGGAUUAGAUACCCGAGUAGUC